rnacentral:rRNA from 1 species
AUUGAACGCUGGCGGCAUGCCUUACACAUGCAAGUCGAACGGCAGCACGGGUGCUUGCACCUUGUGGCGAGUGGCGCACGGGUGAGUAAUACAUCGGAACAUGUCCUGUAGUGGGGGAUAGCCCGGCGAAAGCCGGAUUAAUACCGCCUACGAUCUACGGAUGACAGCGGGGGACCUUCGGGCCUCGCGCUAUAGGGUUGGCCGGUGGCUGAUUAGCUAGUUGGUGGGGUAAAGGCCUACCAAGGCGACGAUCAGUAGCUGAUCUGAGAGGACGACCAGCCACACUGGGACUGAGACACGGCCCAGACUCCUACGGGAGGCAGCAGUGGGGAAUUUUGGACAAUGGGCGAAAGCCUGAUCCAGCAAUGCCGCGUGUGUGAAGAAGGCCUUCGGGUUGUAAAGCACUUUUGUCAGGAAAGAAAUCCUUGGCCCUAAUACGGUCGGGGGAUGACGGUACCGGAAGAAUAAGCACCGGCUAACUACGUG